UGAACGCUGGCGGUAGGCCUAACACAUGCCAGUCGAACGGCAGCACAGUAAGAGCUUGCUCUUACGGGUGGCGAGUGGCGGACGGGUGAGGAAUACAUCGGAAUCUACUUUUUCGUGGGGGAUAACGUAGGGAAACUUACGCUAAUACCGCAUACGACCUACGGGUGAAAGCAGGGGAUCUUCGGACCUUGCGCGAUUGAAUGAGCCGAUGUCGGAUUAGCUAGUUGGCGGGGUAAAGGCCCACCAAGGCGACGAUCCGUAGCUGGUCUGAGAGGAUGAUCAGCCACACUGGAACUGAGACACGGUCCAGACUCCUACGGGAGGCAGCAGUGGGGAAUAUUGGACAAUGGGCGCAAGCCUGAUCCAGCCAUACCGCGUGGGUGAAGAAGGCCUUCGGGUUGUAAAGCCCUUUUGUUGGGAAAGAAAAGCAGCAGGUUAAUACCCCGCUGUUCUGACGGUACCCAAAGAAUAAGCACCGGCUAACUUCGUG
rnacentral:rRNA from 1 species